UAAAAAUAACAAAAGAAAGCUCAAAACACCGGCGCAGCUUAUGGCCUUGGAAGAUUUUUAUAAUGGUAAUAGUAUUCGUUUCACGGUUUUAUAUUGCGGUCAAAUGGGUCGAUGCGGCUGCAAUUUCUGUUGUUGUUGCAAUGUUGUUGCAAAUAACUCAAAUACCGUUAUAUUUCGGUUACGGACCACAAUCUAAAACUAUGCUUCUUUUGUCAUAUGGAUAGAUGUUAAUGUACCUUGCUAAGUGCUAGUUCUUGAGGAAUUUAUUUUUCGUGUUUGUUUACAGAUCACAAAUACCCCACAGAGGAAAUGAAACUUGAACUCGCUAAUGAAUUAGCGCUGACAGAAAAGCAAAUCUCAGGAUGGUUUUGUCACAGAAGGUUAAAAGAUAAGAGAUUGAUGAAAGGUGAAAUAUGUGCUAAUGGACGUCAAGACCGUUCAAGUGGCGUUGUUCAGGAUCGUGGCAGUGGACGGCAAGACCGUUCAAGUGGCGUUGUUCAGGAUCGUGGCAGUGGACGGCAGGAUUCAUGUGGAAGUACUAAGCAUGAUGACUAUAGGUAUUCAGAACCCAAAGAGGUUGAGAGUCAUGGCGUCUAUAAUCAUGAAUUAUCAGCUGCAGAAAUGAACUAUGCACACAGAAACCAUUAUACAGAAAAUGAUAGUGAAACGGAUAACACAUCAUCCGAAAAUAGCUCAUCUUUGCAAGAACGAUUGUUUCUUCAAGGACAGGAUCCGUAUGAUACGGAGCCUUCAAGAUACAUUACACCAAAUGGAUCUCUUCCACCCUUAAAUCCCAAGGGAUAUAAACCAUCAGGAUAUUUAAAAAUGAAGGGAGAGAUAGAGCAUGCUGCUAUAACUGCUGUUAAGAAUCGGUUAGGAAGGAAUUAUCUGGAAGAUGGUCCGCUACUUAAUAUAGAUUUUGAUACAAUUCCACCAGGGGCAUUUGUAUUUCAAACUGCGAAUCCAGUUAAUGGUAGGUUUACUAUAUGCAUUCACUUAUCUGGAAACAUGUUUGUGAAGUCAGAUACCUUCUUUUAAGUACCGCAUAUGUCUAUUGCAUGCUCAUCUUUUUUGACUGUGUGAUUUUGCUUGAUUUUUAGGGUAUGAGAAUUUAUGAUAAUUAAUUAUUUCAUCUUAACUUACCAGGAGGGUUUAUUUUUUAUAUUUUAUGUUGAUUCGUUUGAUUCUUGAUCAAUUUUCUGAUCACAUCUAGAGAUUUUGAGAAUAUUGUCUGAUCUUAUAAAUGUUUUGGCAGAACCAUACCAUGUUGCAAACCCGUCACUUUCAAGUUCUCCUGAAGUCUCACCUGGCAAAAGGCAAUAUAGUCUUAACUCUGUAAGUCGAAGUUCCGGAUGCAUGCUUUUAAUUUUAUUAUCCUAUUUGAACAGUGAUUUGUGCAAAAUAUAUGAAACAUGUUUCAUAAAUAGGACAUUUACCGGAUUUUUAAUGUUACUAGUAUUGCCAAUCUCGGAUCGCAGAAACUAGUCUUUAUUCAAAUUCUGCUACAUAGCUGUGCUAUAGCGCCGCCAUUUUGUACUAAAUAGGAUAUCGCAGUACAAUAGCGGUUUGUUCAAAUUGCACUAAGCUGUAAAUGCUAUUUAACACUAACGUUAGACAGGCUUAUGAUGAGUAAUGGUUUCUUUAGAAUCAGUGCUGAAUUUUCAAUCACUUGUUUCACACUUUGUUUUUCCUUGUAUAUUUGCAGAGAUAUGAUUCAAAUUUGAACAAAUUAAGUUCCGAAGAUUUACAAAUGGAAGGAAGUGGCUUUGGGUCCUUGCAUGGUUCUGAUUUCCACGAUAAGAAAUCCCGCCAGCGUAUAAAACAAAGAACGAAUAUUCAGGGCCGUGCAAUUCGCGCCAAUCAUUUGCAUGGCAAGAACUUUUCCAAUGAUUUGUACGUAGACUCGACUGGGGAAGCACCUGCUUAUGAUAGCACUAGAAAUCAUAGAAUAGGAACUAAACAUGUAGUUGAGAGGAUGAGUUCUGAUUCUGCAUCUAGUCCUAGUGAUACUGAAGAGAAUAACCUGGCGGUUAAGCAGAUAAAUCCACUACGACAUGAUUACAGUAACAGCAAUGUGAAAAAUGUACAAAGGAGUGAAUAUGUAAAAUCUAAACCUUCACAUUCAAUACGUAAUUCUCAAAUUUCUGAGGAUACUGGAGGAAGAGGGCUUUCUGAAAGAAUGGUAAAGGUCUAUGAAAUAUGAAUAUAUUUAUGCUUUAUCUGCGUGUUUUGGGUUUUGCAUGUAAUCGUCAAUUUCUUUUGUUUACAUAUAUGACUUAACUCGCUUGGUUGGUUGCAUUUUUGGCAGGAACAAAAGUUUAAUGGGGGUAGAAAGAUUAAAAAACAAUAUCAUGAGUCAGAUGGAGUAAGAAUGCCUUCGAAAGAAACAAUGGUGAGUCUUAGAUGCAUAACUUACCUGCAUCCGUGGUAUUUGAUAAUUUAAUUUUUUUUAUGACUGUUGUCAAUCGUGGAUCUCAGAACAUAGUGGUUUGAUCAAAAUCAAAUUCCUCUAUGCAGCGCCGCUAUUUAACAAUAUAUACUAAAUAGCUUAUCGUGGAACAGUAAUGAUUUACUAUAGCACCCUACCACCGCUAUUUAACAACACUCUUUUCUAUUGAGCUCACCCCUCUCAUUCCAUGCUUGUAUAUAACUAUAAGAUGUUAGCUUUAUGUAUCCUUAUCCUUUUUUAACAGGUUGCAAAGCGAGCGAAAGUUGAUUUACUUCAUCAAUAUGAUAUUAAACAAGCACAUGUUGCUGAGAUUGAACCAAGGAAAACUCAGAGGUGACAAUUUCUAUCUGUUUGAUUUUUGCCUUUUCAUGACCACAUGUUAACCAGACAUCUUGGAACUCCGUGAUUUUAUAUUUCUGUCGAUUACGGUGUUUCCCUUUUUUGUCUUACCAAAAGCAUUUCUAUUUUAAUGUUUUUUUGGUGACUGUCAUUACCUCAUGAAACUAGCAUAAGAGGUUCAUUUAUAAGCUAUGGUUAUUGCUAUGUCAUUAAAGAGGAACCAAAGUUAUUAUGAAAAAUAAUAUGCGGAUAUUAAAACCUUGUAUAGCUUUUAGUAAUAGUUAUAGAUAAUUAUGCCCUUAUCCUCAUUAUUUCUCUCUUCGUUGAAGAACAAAAUAUAUUGUGCAUAGCCUUAGCAGGUCAAAUUUGCAGUUCUUAUUUUGAUUUAUCUAAAAGCAUGAAUUUCAAUUAUGAUGAUGUAGAUCUGCUGUCGAGAUGCCAUCUAGCUUUAGUGAGGAUGAUGAAACCAGUUCCUCGCUGGAUUGAAAAUUGAUAUUCAUAUUUUGAAUGAAUAUUUUUACAAUGAGAGACACUAUUUGUAGGAUUUUGGAAGCUAGAUAGUCACUGUUAGGAGUCCCACAUCGAGUAGAUCAAAGUGCUCAAUAUGGUGGGAGAGGCUCAUAGCUUAAGUAUCACAUUGAGCACUUUGAUAUACUUGAUGUGGGACUACAUUUGAUUUGAUGUUGUGCUUUCCUAUUUUGAAUGCCUUCGCAACCUAAAAGGAAGCCCUACACCGGUGGUUUCUGUGUCUAAGCAACAGUGGCAGUAUUGAAUGUUGAAGCAACAGCAAAACCGCCGUUCAGACUGAGUUUGAAAUGAAGAAGGUUAAAUGGAUAGAGAGAAAAAUGUGCACAAUUCAGCACAUUUUUUCACUCCGUCCAUCUAUCUAUCUAUCUAUCUUCUUCACCGUUCCUUCAAAACUCCUCUUUCUCAACUACUUAAAAACGCAAAACCAAACCAAACCAAGUCAUCACGCACAUAGAUAUAAACUAUUCGAUUUUGUUAUUAUUUCUUUCCGAUCUCUUUAUUUAACCAAACAACGUACAACAUUUUAAAAAAGAGGCACAAAAUAAUAGGAGUAAUGUCCAAGACCAUGCAACAAUAAACCUUUGAUUCCUGGUGUACGACAACAGUAACCCCGAUUCCAAACAACUCGAUCUGAACAAUUCCGCUGUUGCACGGCCGAAAAAUUUCUAGAAAGAGAACUAGAUGAUCCAUUGAAAAAAACUAUUAUUGGAACUGAAAGAUCCUUGACAAAGCCCUUGAUUCUUUACCCUUACCCAUACACAAGACACUUAGUUUCUCCAAAUUAUAAAAACUAUACUGUAUCAUUUAGAGUCGAAUACUAUAAUAUUUUAUUCAAUCUUGCCUUUCUUUUUUUUAUUAUAAAUACAUUAAUGUAAGAUUAAUAAAAUCUGAAGCGUGAAAAAAAUCACAAGUGGAACAAUUAAAUACCACAAUUUUCAAUGCAUUGACUUUACGUAUUUUCAUAAAAAUUCUGUAAAAAAUUUACUAUUUAACUUAAAGAGUGUCCCGAAGACACUCGUUAGCAUUUGUCUUAUAAAAUUAUAUGCAUAGAAUUAAAAUAAAACUAUUUUUGAAAUUAACUAUUAAAGAUAUUCUAAUAAGCAAUAUGGUUGAAAAUAGGGCUGAAAAUGAGUCGAGUCGAGUCGAACUCGCUUAAGCUCGACUCGACUCAUUUAUUUAACGAGCUUAAUUUUCAACUCAAGUUCGACUCAUUUGGUUCAUGAACCAAGUUCAACGAGUUAAUUAUCGAAUCGAAUCGAGUCUCGGAUUAUUUUCGAGUUGGUUCGGUUCAUUGUCAGCCCUAAUAUAAAUUUACUAUCAUAUAUGAAAUAGUGGUUUGAUACUUAUAUCAACCAAGAUGUAACCAAUGCUUUCAUUUUGUAUGAUAAAGUUGUAGUGUUAUAUUGUGUUUCAUUCAGAUAAUAUUUGAAUGUGGACUUGAAUUGUCCACAUAUAUUAACACAUAUGAUCGAUACUCACUCAUCACUAUGAAAGUAGCAGAUAAAUUGUGUAUGUCACUAUUUCUUAUAAGAGCUUUUUAUUGGUCCCAUAUACAAAAAAAGCUUACCAUUAUAUAUAUCGAGUUGCACAUGAAUCAAACGAGUCGAACUAUAUAUAGUUCAAGUUCAACUCAUUUAUUUAACGAGCUUAAUUUUCAACUCAAGUUUGACUCAUUUGGUUCAUGAACCAAGUUCAACGAGUUAAUUAUCAAAUCAAGUCUCGGAUUAUUUUCGAAUUGGUUCGGUUCAUUGCCGGCCCUAAUUGAAAAUAAAAUGUGAUAGGUCUAAAUCGAAGGCCAUAUUGUUAUCUUUGUUUAUGAAAGAAGAAAACAACUUAAUAAUAAUAUUAUUUGCUGUCUUAUUUCAUUUCAUUAAAAUCAUCUUAGAUUACAAAACCAUAAUCACAAAGUUCUUGAAAUAAAAUAAAAAAAAAUAAAAAAAAAGACAAAUUAUUCCAUGCAAAUUCAAUAUAUAAAUGACAGCUCAUAGAAUAUUCUAACAUGACAUUUAUUUAUGUAUUCUUCUUUUGGCUUUGACAAUAAAAAAGAAUCACAUGCACUUAAGUUUCCGGGUACACCAUAGCACAUACACAUAUUCCGAACCUUAGACACUUACGCUGUGUCCAUGGCAAGAGGCACUCCCUGUUUUGACAUUCAGAGUCAUCCUUACAGUAUAUAAAUUGUCCUGAAUGAAAAAAGAAAACAUAAGAAUUUAACUAAAAUGGAAUAAAUAAUAUUGUGAAAGUAGUAAAGAAGAAAAUUUAAAAAGGGUUACCUCUUUCAGCGUUCGUUGCAGCAAGAAAUAGAGAAAAUAUGAUAAUCAUAACACAAACGAACUUAAUAAUUUUAGCCAUAUUUCUCCCUUUUGCAUGUAACAAAUUGUUUUAUUUAUAGUUUAUAAAUCUCAUUUCCG
rnacentral:lncRNA from 1 species